UACGUAGGGGGCAAGCGUUAUCCGGAUUUACUGGGUGUAAAGGGAGCGCAGGCGGCGCGGCAAGUCUGAUGUGAAAGCCCGGGGCUCAACCCCGGGACUGCAUUUGGAACUGUAUGGCUGGAGUGUCGGAGAGGCAGGCGGAAUUCCUAGUGUAGCGGUGAAAUGCGUAGAUAUUAGGAGGAACACCGGUGGCGAAGGCGGCUUACUGGACCGUAACUGACGUUGAGGCACGAAAGCGUGGGGAGCAAACAGG
rnacentral:rRNA from 1 species